rnacentral:rRNA from 1 species
GAUGAACGCUGGCGGCGUGCCUAAUACAUGCAAGUCGAGCGAACAGACGAGGAGCUUACUCCUCUGACGUUAGCGGCGGACGGGUGAGUAACACGUGGAUAACCUACCUAUAAGACUGGGAUAACUUCGGGAAACCGGAGCUAAUACCGGAUAACAUGUUGAACCGCAUGGUUCAACAGUGAAAGACGGUCUUGCUGUCACUUAUAGAUGGAUCCGCGUCGCAUUAGCUAGUUGGUAAGGUAACGGCUUACCAAGGCAACGAUGCGUAGCCGACCUGAGAGGGUGAUCGGCCACACUGGAACUGAGACACGGUCCAGACUCCUACGGGAGGCAGCAGUAGGGAAUCUUCCGCAAUGGGCGAAAGCCUGACGGAGCAACGCCGCGUGAGUGAAGAAGGUCUUCGGAUCGUAAAACUCUGUUAUUAGGGAAGAACAAAUGUGUAAGUAACUAUGCACGUCUUGACGGUACCUAAUCAGAAAGCCACGGCUAACUACGUGCCAGCAGCCGCGGUAAUACGUAGGUGGCAAGCGUUAUCCGGAAUUAUUGGGCGUAAAGCGCGCGUAGGCGGUUUUUUAAGUCUGAUGUGAAAGCCCACGGCUCAACCGUGGAGGGUCAUUGGAAACUGGAAAACUUGAGUGCAGAAGAGGAAAGUGGAAUUCCAUGUGUAGCGGUGAAAUGCGCAGAGAUAUGGAGGAACACCAGUGGCGAAGGCGACUUUCUGGUCUGUAACUGACGCUGAUGUGCGAAAGCGUGGGGAUCAAACAGGAUUAGAUACCCUGGUAGUCCACGCCGUAAACGAUGAGUGCUAAGUGUUAGGGGGGUUCCGCCCCUUAGUGCUGCAGCUAACGCAUUAAGCACUCCGCCUGGGGAGUACGACCGCAAGGUUGAAACCCAAAGGAAUUGACGGGGACCCGCACGAGCGGUGGAGCAUGUGGUUUAAUUCGAAGCAACGCGAAGAACCUUACCAAAUCUUGACAUCCUCUGACCCCUCUAGAGAUAGAGUUUUCCCCUUCGGGGGACAGAGUGACAGGUGGUGCAUGGUUGUCGUCAGCUCGUGUCGUGAGAUGUUGGGUUAAGUCCCGCAACGAGCGCAACCCUUAAGCUUAGUUGCCAUCAUUAAGUUGGGCACUCUAAGUUGACUGCCGGUGACAAACCGGAGGAAGGUGGGGAUGACGUCAAAUCAUCAUGCCCCUUAUGAUUUGGGCUACACACGUGCUACAAUGGACAAUACAAAGGGUAGCGAAACCGCGAGGUCAAGCAAAUCCCAUAAAGUUGUUCUCAGUUCGGAUUGUAGUCUGCAACUCGACUACAUGAAGCUGGAAUCGCUAGUAAUCGUAGAUCAGCACGCUACGGUGAAUACGUUCCCGGGUCU